rnacentral:sRNA from 12 species
CCUAUGGAGAGUACAAGAACUUGUGAGUAGUAUCUGAACUAAUUCAGUAUGAAAACAUACUCAAUGAAAUAGGAA